GCAAUGUGAACGGGUUAUCGUACGGCAAAACCCAUCACGUAAAGAAGAGUCUUCAACUUUGCAAGAAAGGAAUGCCUCGUUUUGCUAUCAACACAAAGCUCGGAACAGGAAGCUUUAAUAACAAUGAAUACAGUAGGGCACAGUCGACAGUGACAAUUUUCGGAUAAACUUCCUGGUUUUUGUCAAAGGGGCAGAACCUACUACCUGGUAGUUUCAAUGAUGAACUAUCAUGAUAUAGGGCUAAAAGAUGGAUGUGCCAAAUCCACCUCAUGAAAAACAGAUUGGGCAAAAGUGGAGUGCGAACACUAUAUGAUGUGCUGCUAAAUAGCAGAUCUUUACAAGUGAUUUCGGCAAAUCCUGAUGCAACCUGAGCUUACCAAGUUUACUGACAGUUUGGACUCUGUGUGGAUGAUAAUAUGGACAAUAUAUUGUGUUCAUGUUGUGUUGUGAUUGACAUUUUUUAACAGAUAAGAUUUUUUAAUCCAGACUUAACAGGUGAUUUUUCUUCAAAGAAUAAAUACAAUAUUUUUUUAUUGAUGUGCAUGAAUUUGAGUACAAAAUAUCAACAAUGUGUAUCUUGUGUUGUUUUUCCAAUCAGUCUGUCAUCCAUAGGUAAUAUAUUAAGUAUGAGAAGGGAAUAUUUUAUUUUUACAUUUUUGUUGUUUCUGCACACCAUUUCAGAUACAUGAAAAUAUAUUUUAUGCCCCCAACGGGUGGCAUAUAGUUUUCGCACUGUCCGUCUGUCAGUCUGUCUGCCCUCCGUAACACUUUUCGUGUUCACUCUCUAAUUCAAGUAGUGCUAAUCCGAUCUCCAAACUUGGUCAGAAGUUGCAUCCGGAUAAUGUCUAGGUCAAGACGAACAUGGGUCAUGCCGGUCCAAAAACUAUGUCAUAGGGUCACUUAGUGUGUUUCAAACAUUCAGCAUGGUGUCCGCUCUCUAAUUCAAGUAGUUUUCAUCCGAUCUUUCCCAAACUCUGUCAGAAGUUGUAUCUACAUAAUGUCUACGCCAAGUGUGAACAUGGGGCAUGCCGGGCAAAAAACUAGUUCACUGGGUCACUUAGUGCGUUUUAAACAUUCAGCUUGGGGUCCGCUCUCUAA